AAGCGUGCGCAGGCGGUUUUGUAAGACUGUCGUGAAAUCCCCGGGCUCAACCUGGGAAUGGCGAUGGUGACUGCAAGGCUAGAGUUUGGCAGAGGGGGGUAGAAUUCCACGUGUAGCAGUGAAAUGCGUAGAUAUGUGGAGGAACACCGAUGGCGAAGGCAGCCCCCUGGGUCAAAAACUGACGCUCAUGCACGAAAGCGUGGGGAGCAAACAGGAUUAGAUACCCGUGU
rnacentral:rRNA from 1 species